AUACGGAGGACGCGAGCGUUAUCCGGAUUCAUUGGGUUUAAAGGGUGCGCAGGCGGUUUGCUAAGCGGGAGGUGAAAUGCCGGCGCUCAACGUCGGAAGUGCCUCCCGAACUGGUGGACUGGAAUGACUCUGCCGUGGGAGGAAUGUGUAGUGUAGCGGUGAAAUGCUUAGAGAUUACACAGAACACCGAUUGCGAAGGCAUCUCACGAAGGGUUGAUUGACGCUGAGGCACGAAAGCGUGGGGAUCAAACAGGAUUAGAUACCCUGGUAGUCCACGCAGUAAACGAUGAUGGCUAACCGCUGGUUUAUUCGGAUCAGUGGCCAAGCGAAAGCGAUAAGCCAUCCACCUGGGGAGUACGACCGCAAGGUUGAAACUCAAAUGAAUUGACGGGG
rnacentral:rRNA from 1 species